AGGACGAACGCUGGCGGCGUGCUUAACACAUGCAAGUCGAGCGGAAAGGCCCUUCGGGGUACUCGAGCGGCGAACGGGUGAGUAACACGUGAGUAAUCUGCCCCUAGCUCUGGGAUAGCUCCGGGAAACCGGGAUUAAUACCGGAUACGACCACUUUAGACAUCUGUUGUGGUGGAAAGAAUUUUGGCUAGGGAUGAGCUCGCGGCCUAUCAGCUUGUUGGUGGGGUAAUGGCCUACCAAGGCGACGACGGGUAGCCGGCCUGAGAGGGCGACCGGCCACACUGGGACUGAGACACGGCCCAGACUCCUACGGGAGGCAGCAGUGGGGAAUAUUGCGCAAUGGGCGAAAGCCUGACGCAGCGACGCCGCGUGGGGGAUGAAGGCCUUCGGGUUGUAAACCCUUUCAGCAGGGACGAAGCGAAAGUGACGGUACCUGCAGAAGAAGCGCCGGCUAACUACGCGCCAGCAGCCGC
rnacentral:rRNA from 1 species